CAAUAGCGUAUAUUAAAGUUGUUGCAGUUAAAAAGCUCGUAGUUGGAUUUCUGGUGGGAGCGAUCGGUCUGGCGCUUAGCGCGAGUACUUGCAUCGUCUCCGGCCAUCCUUGGGGAGAGUCUGUCUGGCAUUAAGUUGUCGGGCAGAGGAUCCUCAUCGUUUACUGUGAAAAAAUUAGAGUGUUCAAAGCAGGCUUAUGCCGUUGAAUAUAUUAGCAUGGAAUAAUAAGAUAGGACUUUGGUACUAUUUUGUUGGUUUGCGCACCAAAGUAAUGAUUAAUAGGGACAGUUGGGGGUAUUCGUAUUCCGUUGUCAGAGGUGAAAUUCUUGGAUUUACGGAAGACGAACUACUGCGAAAGUAUUUACCAAGGAUGUUUUCAUUAA
rnacentral:rRNA from 1 species